GACGCUACGCGAAGAACCUUACCUGGGCUCGAACGACUGGUAGUACCACUUUUGAAAGGGAGUGGGAUCCGCAAGGAAGCCAGCCGAGGUGCUGCAUGGUUGUCGUCAGCUCGUGUCGUGAGAUGUUGGGUUAAGUCCCGCAACGAGCGCAACCCUUGUCCUGUGUUGCUACCCCGCAAGGGGAGGACUCUCAGGAGACUGCCGUGGAUAACACGGAGGAAGGUGAGGACGACGUCAAAUCAUCAUGGCCUUUAUGUCCAGGGCUACACACGUGAUACAAUGGUAUAGACAGAGGGCUGCAAGACCGUAAGGUGGAGCCAAUCCCUAAACUAUACCCUAGUUCAGAUCGUGGGCUGCAAUUCGCCCACGUGAAGCUGGAAUCGCUAGUAAUCGCAGAUCAGCAGGCUGCGGUGAAUACGUUCCCGGGCCUUGUACACACCGCCCGUCACACCACGAAAAUCAGUUGCAACAGAAGUACCCCGGAUACUCGGGGUCCCAAGUUGUGUCUGGUAAUUGGGGUGAAGUCGUAACAAGGUAGCCCGUA
rnacentral:rRNA from 1 species